UACGUAGGGUGCGAGCGUUGUCCGGAAUUAUUGGGCGUAAAGGGCUCGUAGGCGGUUUGUCGCGUCGGGAGUGAAAUCCACUGGCUUAACUGGUGGCUUGCUUUCGAUACGGGCAGACUGGAGGUAUGCAGGGGAGAACGGAAUUCCUGGUGUAGCGGUGAAAUGCGCAGAUAUCAGGAGGAACACCGGUGGCGAAGGCGGGACUCUGGGCCGAUACUGACGCUGAGGAGCGAAAGCGUGGGGGAGCAAACAGG
rnacentral:rRNA from 1 species